UACGGAGGGUGCAAGCGUUGUUCGGAUUUAUUGGGCGUAAAGCGCGUGUAGGCGGUCUCUUAAGUCUGAUGUGAAAGCCCUGGGCUCAACCCAGGAAGUGCAUUGGAUACUGGGAGACUUGAAUACGGGAGAGGGUAGUGGAAUUCCUGGUGUAGAGGUGAAAUUCGUAGAUAUCAGGAGGAGCACCAGUGGCGAAAGCGGCUUCCUGGCCCGACAUUGACGCUCAUGUACGAAAGCGCGGGGAGCAAACAGG
rnacentral:rRNA from 1 species